GCGAGAACAGGGUUCCAGCUACUGGUGAAGAGCAAAAGCUACAGAAGUCUGCUUUGAGCCCCAUGCCAGGACAGCCAGAACAUGUGUCAGGAUUUGGCUGGAAUGGAGAGCUUCAGGGUAAGACACGCUCAGCUCUCUUCCUUCUCUGUCAAAAGCUACCGUACCGAGCAAACAAUUAAGGAAUUAAGAAACUGGCUUAGAUCAGAUCACAACACGGAGCAGCACUUUCUUGGCUACCAGAAAGAAAGAGCUUCCCUUUCCAAACGCUGAAGAUCAAAGAAAGAGCAUGAGGAAACCUCAAGAACUUACACAGCUGGCAUUCUGGAACCAGAAGGCACAGCCAAGGCCACUGUGUGGGCUGAGUAUAACCGGAGCUCAAGUUCCCCACUCUGUGGGGCUGCUGUGUGCAGCCAGCCUGACUGUUCAGGGAAACGGUGCAUAGCAAGCUGAAGUGUGGGACCCUCUGUCCAUCCGUCACCAGGCAUGCUGAGUGCGUGGGACCCUCUGUCCAUCUGUCACCAGGCAUGCUGAGUGCAUGGGAUCCUCUGUCCAUCUGUCACCAGGCAUGCUGAGUGCAUGGAAUCCUCUGUCCAUCCAUCACCAUGCAUGCUGAGUGCAUGGGACCCUCUGUCCAUCCGUCACCAGGCAUGCUGAGUGUACGCCUUCCCCACUUCAUGAAGCAGGUAAAGAAGAGAACACAUGGUUCCUUCCCUAGAGGGUUUCUGGGGUUCUUUGGGUGUCGUGGCUGACACCCAAAGAAGUAACACACUAGAAUGGGAGCAGCUCCAAGAACGAGAAACCCAAAGAGGACUUCUCCAGGGCAUGCACCAGACUGCUUUCUGUUGCUGUGAUAAACACCAUGACCAAAAGUAAUGUGGGGAGGGAAGGCUGGUUCAUCUUACAUCCUUGAGGGAAGUCCAGGCAGGAACUCAAACAGGGCAGGAAACCCAGGCGGGCAGCAACUUGAAGCAGAAAUUAUUCAGGAACAAUAUUUACACAUUUGCUCCUUCUGGCUUGCUCAGCUUGGGUUCUUACACAGCCCAGGCUCACCUGCCUAGGCACAGUGCUGCCCACAGUGGAUUAGUUCCCUCCCAUGCCAAUCAUCAAUAAAGGCAGUGCCCCAGAGCCGUGCCCUCGGGGCAGUCUGAGGGAGGCAAUUCCUCAAUCGGGGUUCCCUUUUCCUAGGUGACUCCAGUUUGUGUCAGGUUGACAGUCAAGACUAUACCCUAGUUGCAUCAUUAUAGGGGUGAUUAAAAGAAGUGCUUACCCCUGGGAAGGGUGGCUAGGAGUGGGGACAGGACAGUAGGACCGCCAUGAGUUUCCAGCCAGGCUGGUCUACAUGGUGGGUUCCAGUCAAAUGAGAAUAAACAACAGUACCCGUGUCAGAGGACAGUGAGGAGGAAGUAUAAUCAUGCCAACUCCGCGCUGGAAACAGAACCAGACAACACAGUAAGCGUGUGCUCGCUGAUCGACACGGACGUCUUUAUUUAGUGAUCAAAGAGGACAGCCAUAAGCACGUGCCUUGCUUCUUCUCGAAUACAGUGUUCGCGGUGCACCUGGUACUCCAAAGGGCUUCACUAGAGGGUGGGGUGGGGCGUGAACUGACCCUAAAGAAUGCUAAUGAAAUGACUAAAAGAACCUAGUAAGUAAAUAGGAUGUGGACACAGGGUCCGCAGAAGGUCGGCUAAUUAUGGUGGGAUUACUCUGCUGCCGAUUUGUCAGGACUGUUGAGCAUCACACAGGAUUUCAGGAGCAGUAAUCACCCGCUUUCCCACACACUUCCUCAGCGUCAGCCCUUCAAUCAGUCAGAAUGCAAGCAGUGUGCUAAAAAUUGACUGAACAUCUCUCCGCAGAGUUGUCUUUGUGGGGCCAGUGCCACGCUGCUAUGCCAGAGGGAUUAAAUGUUCUCAGCGUUUCUGUUUGCAAAUCUCCCAGCUUCAUGAACACCCAAGGUCAUGUUUAGUGUGGAUCAGUCUAUUGUAAUGCAACUCCAGGGUGAUCACUGGAGAGCGAGCACCAGGAGCUAAUUAAGAAGCGGAUCACCAGGCUACCGCCCCCAAAGAAACCAGGACAUCUCCAAGUAAGGAAAAUGGAGUCAAAGUUCCGGAAGCCUGGAAGGGACUGCUUCAAAUGACUUUAAUCUGAAGGAGAAUGCCGGGUACAGAGCCCUGAUCUAGGGUAGACGCCGCAACAGCCUCAGGCUCAGAACCAACCGGAAAAGUCUAGAUAGUAAAUGAAGUCCAUGAUCUGACUAGUAAUACGGACAAAGAAUUUACUGUUAUUUUAGCACCUGUGACUUGGACAAACCUGUGACCUUGUGAACUGACCCGUGAAAUGACAUUGAUUUAAUACAGACACAGGAAUGUGAAAAUUAACUGUGAACAGAAAUUCCACCAUCCAUUUACUUGAGCAGAGUGCUUUAUGACUGACCAUUCACUUUUUGAAAAAGAAUAUUUAAAAUCUAUUGUUUGAUAGUUUCAUAUUCGUACACAAUGUAUCUUAACCAUAUCUACUUCCAACUCCCCCGCCCCAAAUACCUCCCAACACGUGCCCUCACCCCUUCGUGUCCACUUUUUAUUUUUUAUAACCCACUGAGUCCAAUUAGUGCCGCCCACGUGCACAUGGGCGUGAGGCCACCCACUGAACCAUGAACAACCUAUCAGUGGCUGUACUUCUGAAGAAAAACUGCUCCCCUGUCCCCAGCAGCUGUCAACUGCCAAGCGCUUCUCAGUCGAGGGUGAGCCUCAUGAACCCACCCCACCUGUGCUGGAGGGAGCAAGCGUUGACUGGUUUGAGCUGCUGCAGGGCUUGUGUGCAGGGACAGCUGCUGUGUGCAGGGAUAGGGCUAUAGCUGCUGUGAGGUCCUGCCAUGCCAGGUCCAGAAGACAGCAGUCCCAGCACUCCUCCUCUGGCUCCUACAUUCUUUCUGUCCUUAUUCCAGAUGUUUCCUGAGUCUCGGAGUGGGUGGUGACUUGAAUGUCCUGAGCAUCUGGCAGUCAAUUAGUCUCGGCACUUUGACCAGUUAGAAGGCUCUGUAUUUAUUAACUGCUGCCAUUUCGAAAAGAAGCCUCUCUGACCAAAGUUGACAACACUCAUCUACAGAUUUAAACAUAGAUAUUUAGAAGGCAGUUUGACUUGAUUUUGCAGGUUCCUCCCCAGGACUUACUACUUCCACAGCCUUGACUUUUGACUAGGUUUACAGUACCAGAUAGGAAUUUCCUCCUAUGGAGUAGGACUCAAGUCUAAGCAGAAAGUGGUUGGUUACCUCAUACAUAUCCACCAACAUGUAAGGAAACAUUUGUUUACUUAGAUUAGUGAGCUUCUUGUAAUCAUUAGCAUUGCCGUUUCUCCUGGGAAUCCCAUUUCUCACUUACCUAGAGCAAAGUUGAUAUGAGCCUGGGAGAGGAACGUGCAACGCACGGCUACUUCAUACCAACAUCUUUUAAAAAACCAAAACCACAAAAUCACCACCAACGAGACAAAAUCCAAUUAAAGCAAGCCAUAUCUGAUGGCACAGGGCUGCAAUCCCAGCUUCUUGGGAGUCUGAGGCAGGGGAUCAACAUUUUAGGGCCUGCCUGGACAAUGUCAUCUCAAAAUAAAAAGUGAACCAAGGCUGAAGGUAUCUUAGUGGACCCACUGCGAUGUCUGAGCUCCAAACUCUAAGAUGAUGUGUGACAGGCCACCAAUUGUUUCUACUUUGACAGUGAACACAUUAGAUAACAGUCUAGAGCCCUAGUCCAAGCUGACAUGCCCUCAAAAGCUGCAAAAGUGAACUCAUAGGUGCAAGCUUGGAGCUUGUUUAUAAAUGAUGUGUGAGGAAAUCUGGAACUCCUGCUAAAUAUGAUCGAGGGUUUCCAUAUAAAUGAGAAUUUGCCUGUUUAAUACUCAAAGCUUUGUUUAAAAUUUUAUGCAUUUUUUAAGAUGAACAUUCUUAACCAAAUAUUAAAGCCUUUCUUCAUUAUAUAGCUGAUGUAAUAUAAAUAUAAUAUUAUCUGUAUGUAGACAAUAAAUGCCUUCACAUAAAUGUCCUUAUAAACUAACGCACACAUACGUACACAUGUUCCUUCCAACUGAAAUAGAAUAUAUUAAACUUUAUGUCACAUCCUCCUGACACAUGGGAAAACUCCUGACUUUGAGUACUAACCAUUAGUCAACUCUAUGGUAUUGGCCUUGUGUUUGACCAUCAGAAAACUACCGCGUGCUACAGACUUUAUGGCAAGACCUAAUUUUAGGUAUUUGUCCUUUUUCUUUGUAUUUUUCUACCUUUCCUGUUUUUUUCAGCUCAAUACUAUGGCAGGUGGUUGUAAAAUCACUGUUUCCAUAAUAAACGUUCCCAACGUACUGACUGACAGGGAACUCUAAACCAUGCCUUUCCUUGCAUACAUUAAAAAGAAAUAAAAUAUU